CCUACGGGUGGCAGCAGUGAGGAAUAUUGGUCAAUGGACGCGAGUCUGAACCAGCCAAGUAGCGUGAAGGAUGACUGCCCUAUGGGUUGUAAACUUCUUUUAUACGGGAAUAAAACGCGACACGUGUGCCUUUUUGCAUGUACUUUAUGAAUAAGGAUCGGCUAACUCCGUGCCAGCAGCCGCGGUAAUACGGAGGAUCCGAGCGUUAUCCGGAUUUAUUGGGUUUAAAGGGAGCGUAGAUGGGUUGUUAAGUCAGUUGUGAAAGUUUGGGGCUCAACCGUAAAAUUGCAAUUGAUACUGGCAGGCUAGAGUACAGUUGAGGUAGGCGGAAUGCGUGGUGUAGCGGUGAAAUGCUUAGAGAUCACGAAGAACCCCGAUUGCGAAGGCAGCUUACCAAACUGUGACUGACAUUGAGGCACGAAAGUGUGGGUAGCAAACAGGAUUAGAUACCCCAGUAGUC
rnacentral:rRNA from 1 species